rnacentral:rRNA from 3 species
GGUUAAGCGACUAAGCGUACACGGUGGAUGCCUAGGCAGUCAGAGGCGAUGAAGGGCGUGCUAAUCUGCGAAAAGCGUCGGUAAGCUGAUAUGAAGCGUUAUAACCGACGAUACCCGAAUGGGGAAACCCAGUGCAAUACGUUGCACUAUCGUUAGAUGAAUACAUAGUCUAACGAGGCGAACCGGGGGAACUGAAACAUCUAAGUACCCCGAGGAAAAGAAAUCAACCGAGAUUCCCCCAGUAGCGGCGAGCGAACGGGGAGGAGCCCAGAGUCUGAAUCAGUUUGUGUGUUAGUGGAAGCGUCUGGAAAGUCGCACGGUACAGGGUGAUAGUCCCGUACACCAAAAUGCACAGGCUGUGAACUCGAUGAGUAGGGCGGGACACGUGACAUCCUGUCUGAAUAUGGGGGGACCAUCCUCCAAGGCUAAAUACUCCUGACUGACCGAUAGUGAACCAGUACCGUGAGGGAAAGGCGAAAAGAACCCCGGCGAGGGGAGUGAAAUAGAACCUGAAACCGUGUACGUACAAGCAGUGGGAGCACCUUCGUGGUGUGACUGCGUACCUUUUGUAUAAUGGGUCAGCGACUUAUAUUUUGUAGCAAGGUUAACCGAAUAGGGGAGCCGUAGGGAAACCGAGUCUUAACUGGGCGUCUAGUUGCAAGGUAUAGACCCGAAACCCGGUGAUCUAGCCAUGGGCAGGUUGAAGGUUGGGUAACACUAACUGGAGGACCGAACCGACUAAUGUUGAAAAAUUAGCGGAUGACUUGUGGCUGGGGGUGAAAGGCCAAUCAAACCGGGAGAUAGCUGGUUCUCCCCGAAAGCUAUUUAGGUAGCGCCUCGUGAACUCAUCUUCGGGGGUAGAGCACUGUUUCGGCUAGGGGGCCAUCCCGGCUUACCAAACCGAUGCAAACUCCGAAUACCGAAGAAUGUUAUCACGGGAGACACACGGCGGGUGCUAACGUCCGUCGUGAAGAGGGAAACAACCCAGACCGCCAGCUAAGGUCCCAAAGUCAUGGUUAAGUGGGAAACGAUGUGGGAAGGCACAGACAGCCAGGAUGUUGGCUUAGAAGCAGCCAUCAUUUAAAGAAAGCGUAAUAGCUCACUGGUCGAGUCGGCCUGCGCGGAAGAUGUAACGGGGCUAAACCAUGCACCGAAGCUGCGGCAGCGACACUUAGGUGUUGUUGGGUAGGGGAGCGUUCUGUAAGCCGUUGAAGGUGACCUGUGAGGGUUGCUGGAGGUAUCAGAAGUGCGAAUGCUGACAUAAGUAACGAUAAUGCGGGUGAAAAACCCGCACGCCGGAAGACCAAGGGUUCCUGUCCAACGUUAAUCGGGGCAGGGUGAGUCGACCCCUAAGGCGAGGCUGAAAAGCGUAGUCGAUGGGAAACAGGUUAAUAUUCCUGUACUUGGUGUUACUGCGAAGGGGGGACGGAGAAGGCUAGGCUGGCCGGGCGACGGUUGUCCCGGUUUAAGCGUGUAGGGGGAGUGACCAGGUAAAUCCGGUUGCUUAUCAACCCUGAGGCGUGAUGACGAUGCACUACGGUGCAGAAGCAGUUGAUGCCAUGCUUCCAGGAAAAGCCUCUAAGCAUCAGGUAACAUUAAAUCGUACCCCAAACCGACACAGGUGGUCAGGUAGAGAAUACUCAGGCGCUUGAGAGAACUCGGGUGAAGGAACUAGGCAAAAUGGUGCCGUAACUUCGGGAGAAGGCACGCUGGCGUUAGGUGAAAGGACUAGCUCCUGGAGCUGAAGCCAGUCGCAGAUACCAGCUGGCUGCAACUGUUUAAUAAAAACACAGCACUGUGCAAACACGAAAGUGGACGUAUACGGUGUGACGCCUGCCCGGUGCUGGAAGGUUAAUUGAUGGGGUCAGCCGCAAGGCGAAGCUCUUGAUCGAAGCCCCAGUAAACGGCGGCCGUAACUAUAACGGUCCUAAGGUAGCGAAAUUCCUUGUCGGGUAAGUUCCGACCUGCACGAAUGGCGUAAUGAUGGCCAGGCUGUCUCCACCCGAGACUCAGUGAAAUUGAACUCGCUGUGAAGAUGCAGUGUACCCGCGGCAAGACGGAAAGACCCCGUGAACCUUUACUAUAGCUUGACACUGAACAUUGAGCCUUGAUGUGUAGGAUAGGUGGGAGGCCUUGAAGUGUGGACGCCAGUCUGCAUGGAGCCAACCUUGAAAUACCACCCUUUAAUGUUUGAUGUUCUAACUCGGCCCCAUGAUCUGGGGUGAGGACAGUGUCUGGUGGGUAGUUUGACUGGGGCGGUCUCCUCCCAAAGAGUAACGGAGGAGCACGAAGGUUAGCUAAUCACGGUCGGACAUCGUGAGGUUAGUGCAAAGGCAUAAGCUAGCUUGACUGCGAGAGUGACGGCUCGAGCAGGUACGAAAGUAGGUCUUAGUGAUCCGGUGGUUCUGAAUGGAAGGGCCAUCGCUCAACGGAUAAAAGGUACUCCGGGGAUAACAGGCUGAUACCGCCCAAGAGUUCAUAUCGACGGCGGUGUUUGGCACCUCGAUGUCGGCUCAUCACAUCCUGGGGCUGAAGUAGGUCCCAAGGGUAUGGCUGUUCGCCAUUUAAAGUGGUACGCGAGCUGGGUUUAGAACGUCGUGAGACAGUUCGGUCCCUAUCUGCCGUGGGCGUUGGAAGAUUGAGAGGGGCUGCUCCUAGUACGAGAGGACCGGAGUGGACGAAUCACUGGUGUUCGGGUUGUCAUGCCAAUGGCAUUGCCCGGUAGCUAAAUUCGGAAGAGAUAACCGCUGAAAGCAUCUAAGCGGGAAACUUGCCUCGAGAUGAGUCUUCCCUGGGGCUUAAAGCCCCCUGAAGGAACGUUAAAGACUAUGACGUUGAUAGGCUGGGUGUGUAAGUGCAGCGAUGUAUUGAGCUAACCAGUACUAAUGAUCCGUGAGGCUUAACCUU